GAGCAAUGACGAAAUAUUUGCACUCAUUGUGAAGAUUGGGUUCCUCACUUACUUCCGAUUUCAGAAGAAGAAAACCUGUGCAUCAGAGCUC